GGAUUAGAUACCCUGGUAGUCCACGCCGUAAACGAUGUCUACUAGUUGUCUGAGGGUUUAACCUUUGGGUAACGCAGCUAACGCACUAAGUAGACCGCCUGGGGAGUACGGCCGCAAGGUUAAAACUCAAAUGAAUUGACGGGGGCCCGCACAAGCGGUGGAGCAUGUGGUUUAAUUCGAUGCAACGCGAAGAACCUUACCUGCCCUUGACAUACUCGGAACUUACCAGAGAUGGUUUGGUGCCUUCGGGAACCGAGAUACAGGUGCUGCAUGGCUGUCGUCAGCUCGUGCCG
rnacentral:rRNA from 1 species